rnacentral:rRNA from 1 species
CGCGUAGGCGGUUUGAUAAGUCAGAUGUGAAAGCCCCACGGCUUAACCGUGGAAGUGCAUUUGAAACUGUCAGACUUGAGUACCAGAGGGGAAAGUGGAAUUCCCGGUGUAGAGGUGAAAUUCGUAGAUAUCGGGAGGAAUACCGGUGGCGAAGGCGACUUUCUGGCUGGAUACUGACGCUGAGGCGCGAAAGCGUGGGGAGCAAACA